CUCCAGACUUCCUCAGUUAACAGCUCACAGUGUGAACAGCAGCGUGCAUAAGGAGCACAAUGAGAGUGACUCCGAAAAAAAAGAGGAAUUCCGACCUAAAUUCAUUGGGAGUAUGGGUGCAGAACCAUCUGUUCUUUCUGAUAGCCCAGCAGCUCGACAAUACAUCUACACCUCUGCAGCCCAAAGAGCUUAUGAGGAUGUAGACUGGGACUUCAAGUUACCUCCUCGCCUCAAACCGCC
rnacentral:lncRNA from 1 species